CCUACGGGGCGCAGCAGUGGGGAAUAUUGGACAAUGGGCGAAAGCCUGAUCCAGCCAUGCCGCGUGUGUGAAGAAGGCCUUCGGGUUGUAAAGCACUUUCAGUGGGGAAGAAAGCCUUGGGGCUAAUACCCUCGAGGAAGGACAUCACCCACAGAAGAAGCACCGGCUAACUCCGUGCCAGCAGCCGCGGUAAUACGGAGGGUGCGAGCGUUAAUCGGAAUUACUGGGCGUAAAGCGCGCGUAGGCGGUCUGAUAAGCCGGUUGUGAAAGCCCCGGGCUCAACCUGGGAACGGCAUCCGGAACUGUCAGGCUAGAGUGCAGGAGAGGAAGGUAGAAUUCCCGGUGUAGCGGUGAAAUGCGUAGAGAUCGGGAGGAAUACCAGUGGCGAAGGCGGCCUUCUGGACUGACACUGACGCUGAGGUGCGAAAGCGUGGGUAGCAAACAGGAUUAGAUACCCGGGUAGUC
rnacentral:rRNA from 1 species